GAGGGCGUAGCUCAGUCUGGCUAGAGCGCCCCGGUUUUACCGGGGAGGUCGUAGGUUCAAUUCCUGCCGCCUUCA
rnacentral:tRNA from 1 species